rnacentral:rRNA from 1 species
GUCUAAUACCCGGACUAUGACCAACUGUGUUUUGGACUACCUGGUUUGUGGAAAGCUUUUUGCGGUAUGGGAUGAGCUCGCGGACUAUCAGAUUGUUGGUGGGGUAAUGGCCUACCACGGCGUCGACGGGUACCGGCCUGAGAGGGUGUACGGCCACAUUGGGACUGUAGAUACGACCCAGACUCCUACGGGAGGCAGCAGUGGUGGGAAUAUUGCACAAUGGGCGCAAGCCUGAUGCAGCGACGCCGCUGGGGGAUGACGGCCUUCGGGUUGUAAACUCCUUUCGCAAUCGACGAAGCCUUUUGGGUGACGGUAGGUUGAGAAGAAGCACCGGCUAACUACGUGCCAGCAGCCGCGGUAAUACGUAGGGUGCGAGCGUUGUCCGGAAUUACUGGGCGUAAAGAGCUCGUAGGUGGUUUGUCGCGUCGUUUGUGGAAUACCGCAGCUUAACUGCGGGGUUGCAGGCGAUACGGGCAUAACUUGAGUGCUGUAGGGGAGACUGGAAUUCCUGGUGUAGCGGUGGAAUGCGCAGAUAUCAGGAGGAACACCGAUGGCGAAGGCAGGUCUCUGGGCAGUAACUGACGCUGAGGAGCGAAAGCAUGGGGAGCGAACAGGAUUAGAUACCCUGGUAGUCCAUGCCGUAAACGGUGGGCGCUAGGUGUGAGUCCCUUCCACGGGGUUCGUGCCGUAGCUAACGCAUUAAGCGCCCCGCCUGGGGAGUACGGCCGCAAGGC